CACGCCGUAAACUAUGGAUGCUAGCUGUACACCGUAUCGACCCGGUGUGUAGCGAAGCUAACGCGUUAAGCAUCCCGCCUGUGGAGUACGAGCGCAAGCUUAAAACAUAAAGGAAUUGACGGGGACCCGCACAAGCGGUGGAGCGUGUUGUUUAAUUCGAUGGUAAGCGAAGAACCUUACCCAGGCUUGAAAUCCUGCGAAGCACUGCGAAAGCAGAGUGUGCCUUCGGGAGCGCAGUGACAGGUGU
rnacentral:rRNA from 1 species